rnacentral:rRNA from 1 species
CCUGGCUCAGAUUGAACGCUGGCGGCAUGCCUAACACAUGCAAGUCGAACGGCAGCACAGCAUGUAGCAAUACAUGUGGGUGGCGAGUGGCGGACGGGUGAGUAACGCGUGGGAAUCUGCCCUAUAGUGGGGGACAACCCGACGAAAGUCGGGCUAAUACCGCAUACGCCCUACGGGGAAAGGCUUCGGCCGCUAUUGGAUGAGCCCGCGUCGGAUUAGCUAGUUGGUGAGGUAAUGGCUCACCAAGGCGACGAUCCGUAGCUGGUCUGAGAGGACGAUCAGCCACACUGGGACUGAGACACGGCCCAGACUCCUACGGGAGGCAGCAGUGGGGAAUAUUGCACAAUGGGCGAAAGCCUGAUGCAGCAAUGCCGCGUGUGUGAAGAAGGCCUGCGGGGUUGUAAAGCACUUUCGGUAGGGAAGAGUUAUGACGGUACCUACAGAAGAAGCACCGGCUAACUCCGUGCCAGCAG